rnacentral:rRNA from 1 species
AAAGGCGCUUUCGGGUGUCGCUGAUGGAUGGACCCGCGGUGCAUUAGCUAGUUGGUGAGGUAACGGCUCACCAAGGCCACGAUGCAUAGCCGACCUGAGAGGGUGAUCGGCCACAUUGGGACUGAGACACGGCCCAAACUCCUACGGGAGGCAGCAGUAGGGAAUCUUCGGCAAUGGACGAAAGUCUGACCGAGCAACGCCGCGUGAGUGAAGAAGGUUUUCGGAUCGUAAAACUCUGUUGUUAGAGAAGAACAAGGAUGAGAGUAACUGUUCAUCCCUUGACGGUAUCUAACCAGAAAGCCACGGCUAACUACGUGCCAGCAGCCGCGGUAAUACGUAGGUGGCAAGCGUUGUCCGGAUUUAUUGGGCGUAAAGCGAGCGCAGGCGGUUUCUUAAGUCUGAUGUGAAAGCCCCCGGCUCAACCGGGGAGGGUCAUUGGAAACUGGGAGACUUGAGUGCAGAAGAGGAGAGUGGAAUUCCAUGUGUAGCGGUGAAAUGCGUAGAUAUAUGGAGGAACACCAGUGGCGAAGGCGGCUCUCUGGUCUGUAACUGACGCUGAGGCUCGAAAGCGUGGGGAGCAAACAGGAUUAGAUACCCUGGUAGUCCACGCCGUAAACGAUGAGUGCUAAGUGUUGGAGGGUUUCCGCCCUUCAGUGCUGCAGCUAACGCAUUAAGCACUCCGCCUGGGGAGUACGACCGCAAGGUUGAAACUCAAAGGAAUUGACGGGGGCCCGCACAAGCGGUGGAGCAUGUGGUUUAAUUCGAAGCAACGCGAAGAACCUUACCAGGUCUUGACAUCCUUUGACCACUCUAGAGAUAGAGCUUCCCCUUCGG